rnacentral:tRNA from 1 species
CAGAUUAGAGCUUGAAUAAGUUUUUUAUUUACACUAAAAAGAUGAUUGUUGAAUCAGUUUAUUCUGA